GGUAAUGCCGGAUGCUCCAUCACACUGCAUGGUGUGUUGGGAAAGCCUUUGCGGCAUGGGAUGGGGUCGCGUCCUAUCAGCUUGAUGGCGGGGUAACGGCCCACCAUGGCUUCGACGGGUAGCCGGCCUGAGAGGGCGACCGGCCACAUUGGGACUGAGAUACGGCCCAGACUCCUACGGGAGGCAGCAGUGGGGAAUAUUGCACAAUGGGCGCAAGCCUGAUGCAGCGACGCCGCGUGAGGGAUGGAGGCCUUCGGGUUGUAAACCUCUUUUGUUAGGGAGCAAGGCAUUUUGUGUUGAGUGUACCUUUCGAAUAAGCACCGGCUAACUACGUGCCAGCAGCCGCGGUAAUACGUAGGGUGCAAGCGUUAUCCGGAAUUAUUGGGCGUAAAGGGCUCGUAGGCGGUUCGUCGCGUCCGGUGUGAAAGUCCAUCGCUUAACGGUGGAUCCGCGCCGGGUACGGGCGGGCUUGAGUGCGGUAGGGGAGACUGGAAUUCCCGGUGUAACGGUGGAAUGUGUAGAUAUCGGAAAAAAAAAC
rnacentral:rRNA from 1 species